rnacentral:rRNA from 1 species
GAUGAACGCUGGCGGCAUGCCUAACACAUGCAAGUCGAGCGGACGGACGAGAAGCUUGCUUCGCUGCAGUUACCGGCGGGCGGGUGAGUCACACGUGUAUGCCCGACCUAUGAGACUGAGGUAACGUCGGGGAACCUGAUAUCAUACCGGUUAAUAUGUUGAACCGCAUGGUUCAUAGGUGCACGCCGGUCUUGCUGUCCCUUAUACAUGGAUCCUAGCUGCAUUAGCUAGUUGGUAAGGUAACGGCCUACCAAGGCUACGAUGCGUAGCCGACCUGAGAGGGUGAUCAGCCACACUGGAACUGAGACACGGUCCAGACUCCUACGGGAGGCAGCAGUAGGGAAUCUUCGGCAAUGGGCGAAAGCCUGACGGAGCAAUGCCGCGUGAGUGAAGAAGGUCUUCGGAUCGUAAAACUCUGUUAUUAGGGAAGAACAGAUGUGUGAUUAAAUGUGGCCAUCUUGACGGUACCUAAACAGAAAGCCACGGCUAACUACGUG